rnacentral:rRNA from 1 species
UACAGAGGUCUCAAGCGUUGUUCGGAAUCACUGGGCGUAAAGGGUGCGUAGGUGGGCAGGUAAGUCAGUGGUGAAAUCUCCGGGCUUAACUCGGAAACUGCCAUUGAUACUAUCUGUCUUGAAUACCGUGGAGGUCAGCGGAAUAUGUCAUGUAGCGGUGAAAUGCUUAGAUAUGACAUAGAACACCAAUUGCGAAGGCAGCUGGCUACACGAAUAUUGACACUGAUGCACGAAAGCGUGGGGAUCAAACAGG